GCGUCUGAUUAGCUGGUUGGAGGGGUAACGGCCCACCAAGGCGACGAUCAGUAGCCGGUCUGAGAGGAUGAACGGCCACACUGGAACUGAGACACGGUCCAGACUCCUACGGGAGGCAGCAUG
rnacentral:rRNA from 1 species